AUGUGGAAUGAGAGAAAGUCGAGGGUUCUAAAAAGUAAUUCUAGGAUGCCAUCCAUAAUCAUUGCACACAUUAAGAAUGAGGCCAAGGAUUAGACCAUUGCCGGGGCGAAGCACUUGAGUUCCCUCAUGCCACGACACUAG
rnacentral:rRNA from 1 species